AGCGAACGCUGGCGGCAGGCUUAACACAUGCAAGUCGAACGCCAUCUUCGGAUGGAGUGGCAGACGGGUGAGUAACGCGUGGGAACGUACCCUUGGUUCGGAAUAUUCUCGGGAAACUGGGAGCAAUACCGGAUAAGCCCUACGGGGAAGAUUAUCGCCAAGGAGCGGCCCGCGUCAGAUUAGGUAGUUGGUGGGGUAAAGGCCUACCAAGCCUACGAUCUGUAGCUGGUCUGAGAGGAUGAUCAGCCACACUGGGACUGAGACACGGCCCAGACUCCUACGGGAGGCAGCAGUGGGGGAAUCUUGGACAAUGGGCGCAAGCCUGAUCCAGCCAUGCCGCGUGGAUGAUGAAGGCCUUAGGGUUGGUAAAAUACCUUUCAACGGGGACGGAUAAUGACGGUACCCGUAGAAGAAGCCCCGGCUAACUUCGUG
rnacentral:rRNA from 1 species